UGCUAAUAAGCAUGUUCAUUUCAUUUAAAGUGUUUUCAGUUAAAUAUUUUACUCUAAUAGGUAUGUAUGUACAAGGAUAUGAAGACAAUAACUCUGGAAUCAAAGCAGGUCUUCGUGAUCGACUGGUUAUUACACGUUUCAAAUCGGAUCAAAUGAAGUAAAGCUGUUUCUUUUCAAUACAGUUUAUUUCAGAAGCGUAUUACUCGUGACAUACAUGCACGUACUUUUUAUUCCAUUCAGUUUAGACGACUGACAUAUGACGUAAUUUUCUUUGUAAGCUUUUCGAUCCGUGAACGGAUGUUACGAUUCGAGCCCAGUUUCAGAAAUUAAAGUUGAAGNUGUGACUGCAAUUGAAAGAGCAAAAAUCGAUUUCGGAAAUAUAUUUCAAAUUGCUCGUGCUGCACUAACAAUUUCUAUUUCUGCUGUAAGUGUUGUCUAAUUAAUCGAGUGUUGCCGUGUGACACUGAUCAUGAGCUUGUAAGAAAUAAUAACGGAUAAUGUAUAUAAAAUAUCAAAAAUGCAUUUAAGUAAUUAUUUUUCGGAAUUUAUUUGUUCAGUUCUAAAUAAUAAAUUAAUCUUCUAAUUGGAAAUAAUGUUAAUUAUAAACCAGAGAAA